rnacentral:lncRNA from 1 species
UUCAAUGCACCUCACAUAAUAAUCCCGCGACACCGCAACAACGUCUCGACAUCUCAACAAUGACGAUAGUGUAGCUUUGUCGAUGCAAAGAAGAUUGGAGUCACCAAGUGCUUGGGAAAAUAUCAUUACAGCAACACCACAACAACUCACUAUUUAGAUUCUGAACGGUGUCAUGUUUCUUGCGGAACCGACUGCUACAACUCAACGAGUAUUUCACCACGGGAUCUGCAACAAUGUCGUUGCGAUAAUAUUCUCCUUUAGACAAUACAAUGACAAAGCCACAAACCAAACAUCACUUAUAUCUAUUGCUUUAUUUUCGGCUUAAUUUUGGCAUACUCGAUAUCUCAAGCAAGGAUAGUUCAAUGAUACGAUAACUAUUUGAGUUGAAAUUUCUGAAGCAUUUUUGUUAUAUACAGUUUUUUUCCGGUUCGAUUCGUCGCUGCUGGUUGUUUGGCCAUGUUGCGAUUAAAUAUUAAGUUUUGAACAUUGAGAAAAUACGCUUGCCGUUUCCGUCUCAAUUAGGCGGUGGUUUGGAUUUGUUUUAGGUGUAGAUGGUUUAUGUGUUUCAUGACUAGAAAUCUUGGUGAAAAUUGUAAAAGAAUUUUUUAAUGUUGUCUCUAUGCUGCUGUUGUUGUUUUAUGUUAAUUACAUGAUUGCCAUAACACAAUACAAGCUCUGCGAAUGAGAUUCACGUCGUGGCGUCGUUGGCUGGACGUGUGACUUCAAGAGAGUUGAAAAUAUCAUCACCAUGUGAACUUGGAUCUACAGUGUCUGUUUCUUAUCUUUCAUUCCAUUCUUAUAUAUUGUUACUGUAACAUUGUCUAUUGUCAUCAUAUUGCCUACUGUUAUAAUAUAAUUGGUUUAUUUUUUAGUUUUAAUUACUAAUGUUAGUAGAGCAUUAUAAUAUAAUUUGGUUUAUUUUAAUAGUAGUUUUUUAGUUGUUCCAAUAUUAACUAUUAUAAUUGAGUCAUUAUAUGUUUAUAUUUAUUUGUUAGAAAUAGUUUAUAUUUUGUGGAAAUAUUGUUUAGAAAUAGUUCAUAUUGCCUACUGUUAUAACAUAAUUGGUUUAUUUUUUAUUUUUAAUUACUAUUGUUAGUAGAGCAUUAUAAUAUAAUUUGGUUUAUUUUAAUAGUAUUUUUUAGUUGUUUCAAUAUUAACUAUUAGAAUUGAGUCAUUAUAUUUUUGUAUUUAUUUGCUAGAAAUAGUUUAUAUUUUGUGGAAACAUUGAUUAAAUAAACUUGAUUCCUUUUUCUAGUGUUGAUAUAUAUUCUGGUCCGAUUAAAGCCCCAUUUCGGUUGUUUUUUUCUCUUCCUCUUUUACAAUUUGUUCGUUCCUGUGUGUAUUUUGCUACAUCUUGAGAUUGGCAGAUUUGAUAAAUUAUGUAUGUAUGUGAUUUUGCUUUUCUUUAAAAAAAAGUUGAUGAGAAAAGGGAUUUAUCGUUUGGUUUUAAAAUAAUAUUAUCGCUUUUUUUUGAAGGGGCAGUAUUUGAAAAUUACAUUGUUUUUCAUAAUCUCCCUUGCUUGGUUUUUUGUGUGUGUGUUCAACUUGCAGUAGUCUGGAAUCAUUUAUCGGAUAGGGUCGGUUUGUUGUAUUUCUUCGGCAUUGCUUAUUUUGCCUUCAUAAAUGUUUCUUUUGGGCCCUUUCAAAAGUUGAAAGUAAUGAGAUAUUGGGGACAAAGUAAUAAUAGGCUUCAUAUCUUGUUUUCCUUUAUUUAACAUACUUAUUUGUUCUUAUCUGAUUCAUUAUAUUAUAGAAAAGGAGUUUAUAUAUAACUAUUAGGAUCUUCUCAUGUAUAUUAGGUCCAUUAAUUAUUUUCACCUCCCAUUUUUUUUUUAUUAAUGUGGUAAGGUCAUUACAAAGAUAAUAUUAUAUUGUUGAUGUUUGGUUCCAUUACAAUUAAAAUUGGAUUCUAAACCGCGGAUUCGGCAAUUUUAUGUCGAUACGUCGUCAAAAUGUCAAUAAGUCAAUAGAAUAUUUUUGCCGCAUUUUCAAUUUGCGUAUGACAUUGAUCAUGUUGUCAUCACGUGCAAACCGAUUUUGAGCACAUCUUCGUCAACUCAUACCGAUUAAAUCAACAUUAUCACCUAUUUCUUUUUCUUUUAAAUUAGAUUAAUUGAUUAAUUAAAGUUUUGCUUGGUUAUUUUAAUUUCGAUUAAUCAAUUUUAAUUAACUUGAUUAUUUGAUUUAAUUAAAAAUAUCUUGAUAAUUAAUCUUAAUUAACUGAAUUAAUCAAUUUAACCAAUUAAUUUUUCUAAUUAGAAGUUGACCGAUUUCUUCCACCAUCAAUUCAUAAUACAAGCAUGAUUCCAUUACAUUUCAUUAUCAAUACAAAACCUUGAUUAAACCAUUUAAAAGUCACAAUUCUCGAUUCAAUGUCGAGCCAAUGCCUUUGUAAGUCGAUUGCGUUUUAGCAUCGCCAUCAACCUCACAUAGCUUACUCUUGGGCUUUCUUACAAUGAUCCCUACUCGAUUAUAAUUAAAUCGAUUAGAUGAUUGAUACACCAAGCAUUUAUAUCUAAAUCGGAUUACUCAUGCAAGUUCAAAUCGUUUUUCAAAUCAAUAUAAUUUCUAAAGACUUUCUUUUAUAACUUAAACUUCAGAUGAAAAAGAAUGGGAGGCAUUCGCCUCACCAUCUCUCGAAUAAUUAAAUGAUUGGCGCUCACCACAUUGCUCGAAUUCUUGUCAUCUGAUUAAAACACCUCGAAUAAACUUUGGAUGAAAAAGAGUAUAGGAGGCGCUCGCUUCACUAUUUCUCGAAUAUUCGAAUGAUUGGCGCUCGUCAUAUUGCUCGAAUUCUCGUCGUCUGAUUAAAAUACUUUAAAUGAACUUGGAUAAAGGAAUGGGUGGCACACGCCUUAUCAUUCCUUGAAUAAGCAAGUGGGAGGCGAUCGCCUCACUACCAUGCAUAUUCAAUUUCCACAAACAACUUUCAAUAAUAACUUGAAUGAAAAGGGAGUAGAAGGCGUUUGCCUUAUUAUUCCUCGAACAAUUGAACGAUUGGUGUGCACCAUAUUGCUCAAUAUUUUGUCGUUCUUCUUCUAAAAUACCAAAUAUAUUAAACAUAAUUUCUCGCCCCGUGCGACCAACAACUUAACUUCUUUUAGAAAGACAUUGCUUAAUCCUUUCUAGUGCGUACACAAAUUAGCGCUUAAGUCUCCACCAUGAGCAUGCAAGCCAACGUUUAACCAUUAGAAUGUGAUUUAAGCACUUGUUCAUUAAAACACAUCCAACUUAUCAAACCUCUUUCAUCGCCCCAUGCGAUUGAAACUCUUUUCGAAAAGAACACUAUUUAAUCCUUUCUAACGCGCACAACAAACUAGCGCUUAAGCCUCCGCCAAGAGUAGACAAGUCAACGUUUAGUCUUUAGAACAUGAUCUAAAUAGUCGUUCAUUAAAAGACACCAACCAAUCAUAGUUCCCUGAACUACGAAUGCUCUGAUUUCCUUGUUGCACCAUAAGGAUACAUAGGCACGAGAUUGCGAGAUCUAGGUGAGCACACUAAUAAAAAAACCUCUCAUUUUCCCCCUUCUGAGGUUUCCAUCUCUCUUUUCAAUAUCUUUAUCACUCAAAGAAAACAAAAAACAUAAGCUAACAUUCAAAUCACAAAUUAGACUAAAAGGUUCCCGUUGAGUACAACUGACGUGAGGGGUGUUAAUACCUUCCCCUUGCGUAAUCGACUCCCGAACCUGAAUAUGGUUGCGACGACCAUUAUUCUAGUUUUCAAAGGUUUUAUCGAUAUUUUCCUAUUCCUUCAUUGGAAUAAAUAAAGUUCAGUGGCGACUCUGUUCGAACUAUAUUUUCGUGACCAUCGCGAGGGAUCAUAUUUUUCGAGAUGCGACUGAUGGCGACUCUGCUGGGGAUAUUGCACCAAGCAAGAGAGAGUCAAGCCUAAUUUGGUUCAAUUUGCUAUGAACCAAAUUUGAUAUGAAUCAUACGAUCGAAACUCUUUUCGAAAAGAACACUAUUUAAUCCUUUCUAGUGCACACAACAAACUAGCGCUUAAGCCUCCGCCAAGAGUAGACAAGCCAACGUUUAGUCUUUAGAACACGAUCUAAACAGUCGUUCAUUAAAAGACACCAACCAAUCAUAGUUCCCUGAACUACGAAUGCUCUGAUUUCCUUGUUGCACCAUAAGGAUACGUAGGCACGAGAUUGCGAGAUCUUGGCGAGCACACUAAUAAAAAAACCUCUCAUUUUCCCCCUUUUGAGGUUUCCAUCUCUCUUUUCAAUAUCUUUAUCACUCAAAGAAAACAAAAAACAUAAGCUAACAUUCAAAUCACAAAUUAGACUAAAAGGUUCCCGUUGAGUACAACGGACGUAAGGGGUGCUAAUACCUUCCCCUUGCGUAAUCGACUCCCGAACCCGAAUAUGGUUGCGACGAUCAUUAUUCUAGUUUUCAAAGGUUUUAUCGAUAUUUUCCUAUUCCUUCAUUGGAAUGAAUAAAGUUCAGUGGCGACUCUGUUCGAACUAUAUUUCCGCGACCAUCGCGAGGGAUCGUAUUUUUCGAGAUGCGACUAAUGGCGACUCUGCUGGGGAUAUUGCUCCAAGCAAGAGAGAGUCAAGCCUAAUUUGGUUCAAUUUGCUAUGAAUGUUAAAAUGUUGUUUAUUUCUUUCUCUUUAUCUUAUCGUAUUAUUUAUGCUAUCUGUGAUUUGCUUCUCUGAUAUUGUAAUGGGUGGUUUUAUAGUUUUGGAUGCAUGUUGUGAGAUAAGCUCUACGCCUGAGCUUCGAGAAAAACUUAGAAUCAGAAGAUUUGUAGUAUUGAACCGAGGGGUCUACAUCUUGUUGGAACAAUACGAAGACUCCGCCUAGAGUAGAUCUGUUUGGAAUUUCCAUCAUGAUAUGGCUAACCCAUUACUGUGGGGAAAUUUUAAAUAAAGUUCGUGACUCUAAGAACCUCGCAUUAACCUGAAUCCUGUUACUAAGGUUGGUGAUUAUGUAGUAUUGAACAGAGGGGUCUACACCUCGUUCGAACAAUACGAAAAUCCCUCAUAUAAUAGAUCUAUUUGGAGUCUCCAUCGCGAUGAGGCUAGCCCAUUGUUGCGAGGAAAUUUUGAACAUGAUCCGUGACUCUAGGAACCUCAUCUAAAACCUAAAAGCCAACCUUGUGAGUGGUUUAUGGGUAGAAAACUUAAAACUAUCUAUUAUAUGGAGCCUACCUAGUAGGUUGUUCUGUGAUAGUCAUGUUAUCCUGGAUCCUAAUUAUACCUGCAUUACAUUUUCUUUGCGUGCCCAAAUACAAAAUUUCAUGCAUUUGCAUUUCAUCAACAUGAAUUGCAUAUCAUUUUCAUAAACAAAAAAAUCAUCCCAUCCUUUGUCCAUAACCCGCGGUUGAAUUCCUGACAUUCGCAUCAAACUUGAAGUAGAUCUUGAAAGACCAUGGAUCCAUAGGAGCAAAGUCAUAUUGCAUUAAGAGGAGAUAUGGACUCAAUGAAAAACCAGAUAAACCAACUUGUUGAGGCUAUGAUAGCUUUAGCAAAGAGGUGGGACAACAUUCAGCAAACUGCAGUUAUUGAGAAUGUCGUUCCACCUCUAGUAAAUGAUCCUACCCAACCUCAGCAUGUGCGAACCCAGUUGAUAACUCUGUUGUACAAAAAUGUCAUAUUAUUCGAUAUGGGGGUUCCUCAUAUCAUGAUGUUGUUGAGUAUCACAUUUUUGCAUUCUCUGUGCCAGAUUCCCAUGGGACAAGCUUGAUGGUUAAUACUGAAUAACCACAAGAUAAUGAGAUUGCUAAAAGAUGUUGCGUGCUAGAGAAAAGGCUCAAGGCCAUAGAAGGACAAGAUAUUAUUGAGCUGAAUGCCUUAGACAUGUGUUUGGUACCUGGCCUGGUUAUACCCCCAAAAUUCAAAGUACCAGAAUUUGAGAAGUACAAAGGGGAUAAAUGUCCAAAGCACCAUUUGGUGAUGUUUUUCCGAAAAAUGACCUCUCAUUCCCAUAAUGAUAAGCUAAUGAUUCACUGUUUUUAGGACAGUUUGACUGGGAUAUCACUUAGUUGGUAUAUGAAGUUAGAAAGGAAUCAUAUUCAGUCAUGGUUGGACCUAGCUAACGCCUUUUUGAAGCAGUACAAAUACAAUUUGGACAUGGCUCCAAAUUGCAUGCAGUUGAGAGUCUUAUCUCAGGAAAGCAACGAAUCCUUCAGAGGGUAUGCCCAAAGAUGGAGAGAGUUAGCAGGUCGCAUUGAACCACCACUCUUAAAGAAAGAAUUGAUGGAAUUAUUCAGGGAUACCUUGCAAAGUCCUUACUUCGAAAGGAUGAUUAGCAGUGCAGCAUUAGACUUUGCUCACUUGGUGUCAAUCGGAGAGCACAUCGAGUGCGGCCUCAAAAGUGGAAGAAUCCAAUGUGUCUCAAGUAGCCAUAGCAUUUAGAAAGAAUAUAUUAUCAAUUCUCAAGAGUAAGAAAAGGAUGAAGUUAAUGCAGUCUGAGAAAUCCCACAAGCUCCAUAUCAGAGACCAUCUUCUCCUUAUGGUCAGUAUCCUACAAAUCAAGGAUCUCUUCAGUAUCAACGACAGAUUCCACCUCAGAAGCCAUACAAACAGCAGGAUAUUCCACAUCGACAACGUCAACAUACUCAACAGAGGCCAAGAAAGCCAGAGAGACACAUUGAUCCACUUCCAAUGUCAUACAGUCAAGUACUUCCAUAUUUAAUUGAGAAAGGACUGAUAGUGCCAAAGGAGCUAAAACCAGUAAGUCCUCUAUAUCCACCAGGGUUUUAAGCUAAUGCUCGAUGUGACUUUCAUGUUGGGGCACAUGGGCAUCCAACUGAAGAUUGUAAGGUGCUCAAGAGCAAAGUACAAACCCUGCUUGAUUCCAAGAUGUUCUCAUUUGCGCCUCGAAGCUUGCAAAUCAGUAAUACUCCCUCACCUAGUUAUACUGGUCCAUCAGUCCAUGUUAUGGAAGAGAUUUCUGAGAAUAUGUCUGAAGGUGAUUAUCAUAUUGGUCUCGAUGAGCAUAACUACCAUUACUCUGAAGAAGGCUAGCCCAGCAGUAAACUAGGCGUGAGAGAGCUUCCUCUACAUUGACAAUCAUUUGGCUAUUUUAGCAUUUUCAUUUAUAUUUUUCUUUGCAUGUUAAGUACUUAUUUUCUUUUCAAGUAUUGUUGAUUUCCUUUAAUGGUAAUAUUAAUGAAAUGAUCAUACAUGUUUUGAACGAAUCCUUUCGUAUUCACUCAUAUUUUCCGCUUAUAUCAAAAAAACAAAAACUAUUUCUCCCAUUCACUUAUCAAAUUGUUAUUUUAGCAAAGAUUGAAGGGAGGAUGACGAAAACGAAAUACUCAUAAUUGUUAAUAGUAUGCUUUCGGAUAAAACCUUGUUGAUGAUGUACAGACAUUGUUUCAAAUCCCUAAACACUGGAGAGAUAAGGAGAUAAUCCCUAGUCAACCACUUAGAGCAUAAAAAUAGGAGUUUCUUUCGUAUCUACAAACCCUUACAUUUAACCUGGGGCAGGGUAGUGUUCAGUUAAUCUGACUACACAUUUAAGUUACAAGAUGAAACAUCCCGUCUGAGGAUCAACCAUAUGAUAUUCUUUGCACACAUCCUGAAGUGUAGAAGGAACCAUGCAAAAUCCAAAAGUUAUGUCGGUUGUUCUUCAAUGACCAAAGACUUGGCAAUCACAAUUUUCCAAAAAAAAUCAAAGAAAGAGCCUGCUAAGUCGAACACCCGAUAAGGAGACUUAGACAAAAACUAGGGCAAUCCCAAUGGACUAAAGCUUCAAAAAGCGGUCCAUGCAAAAGUUAGGGAUCAAAACAAAAAUCAAAAGAGGUCACAAAAACCCUCAACAAAAUAAAACAAGAUUCAGCGACCACCAUGUCAAGAAUCAAAGGGUCACCAACAUCCAUGAAUAGAAAAAUAAGGUGACUGCCAUUUCAAGAGAUUUUACACCUUCAAACUCUCUUAAAAGACGAAUGCGUAUGUUGAAUUAACUGAGCUUAGGACUGGAGAUCAUCACGAAGGAGGGAUGGGUUAAAAUAAACUUUGAGCCUUAUAUCCUUUUGUUCAAAAACCAUGAACCAUACCAUGUUACAACCCUUAAAAGACCUAAUUGAGGUAGAGUUUAUUUUGAAAGCAUACUACAACAAGGUUGCGUAAACUGACUCCUAAAUAUUUGCUAAUCACAUGUAUUGGCAUCAUAUUCCCAGCGUAUCUUUCACACUAGCUAAAUCAGCAAUGUGUUUGAACUAAUGGUUCAUUCAUCACACACUAUCACAUCACCCUAAUAAAUGAUUUUUCAAACUUGCAUGAAUAUCGCAUUAAAAUUACCAUUGAUUAAAUAAACAAUUUUAACUACAAGUAAGUACUUGACAUCAAGGAACUUCAAAGAAGCAAUUAGAGAAGAACUUGAUCAUUCAUCAAUGCUGACCCAAAUCAAGACUACUUCUUAACCCUAUGGAUUAUGGGCAUGGUAUCUAAUGGCUAUGAAUUGGUCAGUCAAAAGACAAAUCUCCAAGCAUCAAUUGAUCAAGGAGGCGAAUCAUUUCAAAGUAUCCGGUCCAUCUGGGGAAAUCCUUUCAAAAUCUCAAUCAGGGGAAAAUUAUAGAAAGAUUCAUACACUGAGGAAAAUUUGGUUCAAGCCAUGGCAUAAUCGUUCCCAUGAUUUCCUUUCAAAGGUGAAUUCCUUCAAGGACCCUACAGGCCGGGGCAGAUAAGUUGCAAUGAGCCUUGGGGAAGAGCAAUAGCAUAAUCAUCAUGCAUUGAUUACGUCGCUGCGCUCAUUAAAUCAUUUGCAAAGCCAUCAAGGCAUAUCAGGAAAAGAAGUUGAGAUUCUCUCAAGAACAAACACACAGUCUAUCGACAAAGGAUCAAACUUGGGGCACCAAUAGCAUCCAUGUCUAUCUUCAAUCAUCACAUCGUCAAAAGACCGAGUGUCGGGAAGUCAAAACCUUUCACCAACCAAAAGUCCAAUCCAUAUUGGCAACUACCAAAAAUAAAAGUCCACUUUGUUGGCAUCUUUAUAAACCCAAAUCCAAUCAACAUUGGUACCCAAGAAAAUCUCACCUUCAAAAAGGGAGAUCAAUCCAAAAACAACCAAUAAUCCUCUUGCAUUACCACAUGCACUACAUACAAUAAACACACAUAAUUUUUCUGCCAAAUCAGGAAGUUGCAUAUCCAAAAGCUUUCUCGCAAAAAUGAGAAAUUUUCAUUAACAUGCACCAUACACAUACAUAACAUCAUAAUUCCUUACCAUCAACCCUUUGAUGAUGCCACUCCAUAGUGAAGUCUCUUUUCCAUCAACCCUCUGAUGAUGAUCAUCUUUUCCACCAACCCUUUGGUGAUGCCACUCCAUAGUGAAGCAUUUUUCGUCAACCCUUUGACGAUGACAGUUCCUUUUCCAUCAGCCCUCUGAUGAUGACAAUCUUUUCCGUCAACCCUUUGACGAUGAUAUUAGAUAUACAGUUACCUUUCCGUCAACCCUUUGACGAUGACAGAUCUUUUCCAUCAACCCUUUGAUGAUGCCACUCCCUAGUGAAGUUUAUUUUUGUCAACCCUUUGACGAUGAUGGACUCUCUUCCAUCAGCCCUCUGAUGAUGAUCUUUUCCGUGAAUCCUUUGACGAUGAUAGUUUCUUUUCCAUCAACCAUCUGAUGACGACAAUCUUUUCUGUCAACCCUUUGAUGAUGACAAUUUUCUUUUCGUCAACCCUUUGACGAUGACAAGUUCUUUUCCACCAACCCUUUGGUGAUGACACCCUCUACUCUUUUUCGUCGACCCUUUGGCGAUGACAAAUUCUUUUCCACCAACCCUUUGGUGAUGACAUCCUUUAAUUAUUUACGUCAACCCUUUGACGAUGACAAUUACCUUUCCAUCAAUCCUUUGAUGUCGACAUUCACUAUAUUCCAUCAACCAUUUGAUGAUGAUGUUCUCCAAUAAUCCCUUCGGAAAACAAGAUAAAGCCCUACAAAAAAAUCCAAGUACCCAUCUGCGUUCCCAUAUGCGUCUCAUGCAUCCUUCAGAAAUAAUUUUACUGCCCAAAAUAGGAAGAUUCAUCAAACAUGAUCCCAUCAAUCAUCAACAUACUUAUGCAUAACCUUAUACAAAAUCAAAAAAAUCAGUUGCAUUCCCAUGCACAUCCUAAAUAUCCCCAGCAAUUGCACCCCUGCAUGUAUCUCACGCAUCAUCCCAUGCAGGGUAUUUCCAUCCAAAGUGGAACAUCAUACAAAAAUCACACCAAAAUAUCAGGAUCCAGGGCCAUUCAUGUAUAUCUUGGACUUUCCUUAUUUCUAAAUAAAGUUAUUACCUCGCAUGUGCUCGUGGAAUCAUUUCUUGGCAAGUCAUUCUUCAACUUUAUGGUUAAUAACGAUAUUUUCCAGCGUCUUUGUUGUCAUUGCUCCCCAAGAUGAGGUUAUCCUAAAAAGUCUCUUAUGAGCUUUUCCCCCGCAGAACAUUUCUAGUAAAUCUCCUCCAAAAGGAGUCUUUUCUGAACUAUUUCCCCCAACAGAUGAACAUUUGAGACACUGCUUCAUUUAUUUGAAGAGUCUCAUUUUUUUUGAGAUACUGCUCUAAUAUCCUCGGAGAGUCUUAGAUACAAUUAAGGUAUCAUUCCCCGUGUUGGAAUAUCUUUGUUAUAUCAUAUAAGAUGUUGCUUCGUCGAUUUAGAGAAUCUCAUUUAUCUGUUUGAGAUACUGCUUCAUUUAUCUGAAGAGUCUUAUUUGUUUUUAGAGAUAUUACUCUAGUAUACCUUGAAAAGUCUUAGAUUUAAUUAAGGUAUCAUUCCCUUGUUGAAAUAUCUUGAUUAUAUCAUAUAAGAUGUUGCUUCAUUAAUUCAGAGAAUCUUAUUUACUUGUUUGAGAUACUGCUUUAUUAAUAUGAAGAAUCAUAUUUGUUCUUGGAGAUACUGCUCUAGUAUCCUUGAAGAGUCUUAGAUGCGAUUGAGGUAUCAUUCCCUUGUUGGAAUAUCUCGAUCAUAUCAUAUAGGAUACUGCUUCGUUGAUCCUCAGAGAAUCUCGUGUGUUCAGCUUAAUACACUGCUCUGCAAGUGCUCAGAAAAUCUUAGGUACAUUUGAGGUAUCAUUCCAUUAUGGGAAUAUCUCGAUUAUGACAUCCAAGAUACUAUUCUGAUGAUUCCCAGAGAGUCUUGAUUGUUUCAUUUUACCUUCCAAUAACCUUUUCUUACCGUAUUUCUCACUACAUUUUCUUUAUGCAUUUCUUCCUUGCAUUUCAAGGGACAAAAUUCGGGUUUUUUUCGUAUUUAAUUAUCUUCCACCAGGAAUGUACGAAGACUGCUGUCAUUCAUACUUUCUGGUUCAAGGUAAUUAAAUAGAGGCAGCUGUCAUACCCCAAAUUUGUCCGGGCAUUUUAAAACUUUCAUAAAUUCGAUUUUAUUUUCAGUUUGCAUCAGUUGUAUAGCGUAACAUGCAUUUCAUCAUUAAUAAUACUUAAAAUAUCAGUCAGAAUAAAUUCUUGGAUAUACAGACAAAAUGGUUAAAUCAUUUCUGAAGUACAUGCAAAAUCAGCGAGUAAAAAGUUUCGAAAUCAAGCUUGCAGAUGUCAGUAUUAUUAAUCUACGGUUCGCGUAGUUUAACCUGGUGUGCUCGUUAUAUUUUUCGACGACUUUUUCAGUGGCAUUUUGAUCCGCCUGAGCCUAUUAAACCGGUCAAAAUUUAUUUCAAAAUUAAAAGAAACGUUGUAUUUUUUCAAUAAGUAUAUUUCGUGAUGAUCAUUUUAGUGCAUCUAAUUUAAUUUUUCGAGCAAAUUUUCGCCCAAUAUUUAUUCAUUUCCAGUCAUUUUAUUUAUAUUCUUUAGCCAAAAUAUUCAGAAAAAUUAAAUAGAAUUUUCCAUGUCCUUAUUUUACUUUUAUCAUACUCAUUUUAGAAGUUGGAAUUUUUAUUUGAUUCAAUUGAUAUAAAUUGUUUUAAAUCGAUUAAAUCAUCUAAAAAGGGCAUUAUAGGCCUUUUAAUUUAUUUAAAUAAUGUGUGCUUUUUGAUGUGCUUUUUGAAUUAACCAUGAUUGUUGGAUCAAGAUUAAUCAAUGGCCAAUGUGAGCAAUCCACACUCAUUUCGUUAUCCAAUCAAAAAUAAGAUUUAAAUGAUAAUAUUAAUAAAUUAAGAAAAUCAUAAAAAAUGGAAAAAAAAUAUCUCCUUCCUCCGAUCAGCAUAUGUCACGUUUCAAUCCAUUCACCAAAUAAAUCCCAACGGUCCACUCACGAGAAUGGUGGACCAUCUACGACUACCAACGGAAAAAAUGGACUCAUUCACUAAUAUUUGAAGGAAUCUACUCCUUCAGUGACAGCUGGCUGGCAAAGGGAAGAAAAGAAAAAAAGAGAAAAGAUAAAAAUAGAAAGAAAGAGGAAGAAAAGGGAGGAGGGCAUGUAUUCUCCUAAAUGGGAGAUCUGCAAAAAAUUUGAAUAGACCCUUUUUUUUCCGUCGAAAUACCUUUUCUUCUUCCCUCAUAAAUCCACCGUUCCUCUUCCUUUUUUCCUCCACCACACACCCACUGUCUCCCUUCAUCGUCCAACAAUCACUCCCUUUCUUCUUCCGCCGCCACACUUACAUCUUUAACACAAACUGUUCAUCGCCGAACCACCACCUAUCCUCUUCAACAUCAAACCCACCAUCAAUUUGCAGAUCCACCUCCAAGAACCAAACCUUCAACGCACCUCACAUAAGAAUCCCGCGACACCGCAAC